UGUUUGGCUGAGGGGUUUGGUUUGCCAAAAGCACUAGCUGAGUCUAAAAUCAAGUUUUAGCUUUUCAAGUUUUAGUAUGAUCCUUUUAAACUAGAUGAGUACCUAGCUAUUCAUACAUGGUAUCAAACAUUAUAUCAAUCAACAUCUUUUGCCAGUCACCUCAUUUCCACUUAUUACUCAAUGUAGCAGCAUGGAUCAAGCAGUCUCAUUAGCUGCGAGAAGCAGACGAUUCGAAUCGAGUUUUUAAACCUUGCAAGGUAAACCUAACCACACAACAUGUAGGGGCACUCCGUCCCCACACACAUCAACCGUCCCCAUCGAUUCCCUGGCAACAGAUCAGGGCUCACCGCCUUGGCGUACAAUGCCCCACUGACCCCGACUGGCCGUCGUGCAGUGACCGCACUUGUACCCACCAUAACCGGAAUGGGAGACCUCGUCUCAGGUCGCGUGAGGGGAUAUGUCUGCGGGCAGGUUCACUCAGGUACUAGGCUUACCGAUUUACCAUAUUUCUCGGCAUGUGCUUAGUACGUUCAAACGCUUGACUCACGGUACCACACCUUAAUCCUUAUUCAAAUUUUUACCUCGUGAACAACCAAUCCCCAUGGAUUGUUGCCCACACCCAACAUCAGUACGAUAUGAACGUGGGUACAAUCAAUGUCCUGACCUCGCGCGAGUGCUAGAAAAAUCACUCGUCUUCUACCGAGAUCCUACUUAAUAAAGCAACUACUCGACCUGUCAUACUAGUAUUCAUCUCAAAAGGAUUCCUGAGAUCAUGCAACUAGGGUUUCAAACAAUUCCUACACCUAAGUGCACAAUCAUCCCUACAAUCAUUAAGUGAAGUAAAAUAGCAUAAAUAACAGGUUAUGCAUAAAACCGGGGCUUGCCUUUUAUUUAACACUUAGAUAGUGUUUUGCUGGGGGAGGUACUCGCUUGGCGAGCAUCUACUGGGUAAGUCCACCAUUCUUCAGGUCGUCCACCAACUGCAUCUUGUGGUUGGCACCACAUCAAUGGCUCGAUCAUCAUCUCUCGGUCCUAAAUGAGAUGCAAUAUGCAUAUGUAUGAAUAUAAUGAAAUAGCACAAGAUACUUUAAGUACACGCUAGCGAAUUAAACACUAAGUAGCGAGACAUCACAAGCAACCACACCCACUAACGUUAGCUAACUACAUAUCGUCGAGCGCACAACAUUACACCACUAAAAAGACGACAAACAUUUUGGAUAUUUACGCAACACAAUACUACAUCACAAUUAACUAGAGAAAGAAACAUAUAAAACAAGACACACAUGUCAUAACUAGCUUAGUCAUGGCAAGUCUAUAUUAAUUUAAUGCUAACCAAUCAUUUUUAGCCAAAAGGGUGAACUAACAAUCAAUUAAGCACUAGCAGGAUUUUUGGACAGCAAUACAGCAGUCACUUGUUUUGAUCAAAACUUUUCAAAUAUUAAUCCAAAAAUAGCAAACUAGAACUUUCUGGAAAGCUUAAAAAGUGCUCUACAACUUUGGUAUUUCCACCUAAACAAGAUUCAACACUUAGCAAGGUUAAAAGUGCUAACACAACAGAUCUGUCCAGAUUUGGACAGAUUCAGUUACUGAAUUUGUGAACAGCAUAACUCCUAAACUGUCAGACCUAUGACUGUCAAAUUUUAACACCAGCAAGAUAAUAAGGUUAUCUACCACUUUUCUAUAGCACAUAUCUACAGAAAACACAAUUUAGUUCAUCAAACAUACAGCACACAGAAAACAGUACGUGCAGUCCAAAACAGCAAUUACUAAAUUUCAGCUCCUAUACAAUUCAAAAAUUGCCUUGCUCUAGAGACUUGAAUUAUUCUAACACUUUACCAUCUGUUAGAGUUAAAAUAAUCAAAUGAGGACUAACAAGUAGACUCACAAAUUUUCAUCCAAGUUAUUUCGCGCGCUAGAACUAACAUACACAUUUAAUCAACGUAUUCACCACAAUCAUCAAUUUCGGCAUAUAUGUAUAUCAACGCGCUUUUCACCCACUAGUUCGUAUUUUAAUUUAGACACCACAUGAGCACUAUAGAUUUUUACCCGCGAUCAUAACCAUGCGCAUUUAGACUACAACAAGUAAUUUAAAGUGACUGCAAGCUUAACUAAAGUCAUCUAACGAGUCGGCUAGCUAGAGCAACGACACAGCCCGCUAGACAGCAUACACGCCGGCUUGCCUAUUAUGAUCGCAGACUGAGACACAACAUACACUUCAACAUUUCUGCAAUCAUACAUAUUUAUCAUAUGAACAGAGCAUUUUAAUAAUGAUCCCAAAACAACUAACUCCAUUACACUAUAUGCAAAACAUAAUUUAACGAACACCAAUUUCGCAUCGACUUGACUCGACUUAUAAACAUAGAGGAAUUGAUGACUACCUUGGCAUGUCACCACCCCUCCAUUUAAGCCGAGAUAAAUUCUAUGAUCGACUAAGAGUUCUAAGUAUUAAACACAUUAUUACCUUCACGCACAAUUAAGCCUCAACUUAACACCAUUUUUGGGUAACUUGAUCGACUCACUACGCAUGUUCUUUGCCCAUCAAAAUUUAUCGCACCACAGGAAUCAUCCCACUUGCUAAUGACAUCAACAAGACCUACUUAUCUAUUAUUCACAACUCGAACGCAGUUACGCGCCGCAUUCUAGUUUCCAACAUAAUCCUUACAUAACUCGUAACCCAACUACCCACUAACGAUAAAUCACUCACGGCAACUACACAACAACUGGUUAAUUUAUUUGGACACUGCCUGCCUAGCGUACCACUAGUUCCCCACAUUUUGAUUCAAGCUUAAUAAUACAUCCUUUAUUCGAUUAUACAACAGCAACUUAAGUGUCGUGUUACCCAAUGUGUACAUCUUUUCUCGUUGCGAGUGUAACCAUAUCACGGCAUACACCCGCACACCUCAAACAAUUAUCUCACGCCACCACUACUAUAUCACACCACGACACACACACACCUACGUGCACUAAUUAAAUCCUCGCAUCCCAUGUAUUUCCAAUUUACUCAUCACGUUAAACAACACAACACGUUUGCUUACCUAAAUGUUAAGGCAACCUUGCUACGACAUAUAACCAAAACAUUUUAUACCCACACACAAUCCAACACUAAUGUACACCACAUCGACUAAAAUCUAAUUGUACAAAUUACAAAUCGCACACAACAAAUAACACAUCGCAUGUAUUCCUAUUGAAAUAUAAAAAAACAUCCGAGUUCUUUUCUACUUCUUUUUCUUUCGCCACAAACUUCAAUCCAUGCUAAUACAUUUUUUUACACAUAUACACACGUGCACAACAUCGACCAAAGCUUAAUUGGAUUAAUCCACAAAAUACCAAGGGAACAACCUGGACGAAUCGAGACUAGUCGCAUGGGCUGUCCACAGGGCUCGGUGUUUCGCCAAACGGGCAAAGCGCGAAGCGCGGUGUCGACCACUAGCUGCGAUAACACAAAAAUUUGUUGACCACAGUUCAUCGAACAUCAUAAACGCCGGAAAAACAGUGAGGACAGCGGGGUUCUCACCGAGGGUCGACGGUGUCACGGAUGGGGCUGCGCAACGAGCACAAGAGCAAUGUCACGCGACGAGGGGAGAGGCUGCUCGCCAUGGACGACGGUGGCUCGCUGCGGCUGCUGUUUUGUGGGGCAGAGGGGAGGAGCAGGGACCUAGGCGGCAUUGCUCCUGCUGCUGUCCAUGGAAAAAAAAUAGGGCGCAGGAAACAGCAGGGGGAGGGAGGUCGGCCGUCGACCCUAGCCGCGACUGUGCACGAGGACAAGGGUGCACGGCGUGGGGUUCGGGAUCUGCUGGUGUAGAGAGUGCUGGAGGAGCUCGCCUAGGAGAUGGGAGUGCUGAGCUCCAAAGACUGGAGGAGGGGGCAGGAACCGUACAGAGCACCGGUCACCCAGGAACAAGGGGGGCGCCGAUCUCCAUGGAAGAUGGUCGGCCAUGGGCGACGACGAGCUCACCUGCUCGAGCUCGGACCAGAGGAAGUCCCUGCACGGCAGGUGCAUGGAGGAGGGGAGCUCGUCGCGGCCACCAAGAAGAGACCCGGCAGGGAGGCAAGCUACCGAAAAAAAGGGACGCCAUGGCCAACCAAGCGCCAUGGGCAAGCUUGGAGAGGGGCUUCUGCUGGCCGUAGAUCAGGGGGAGGACGAGCCAAGGGAGAGCCGAGCAAGGGAGGGAGGCAGGGAAUCCUGCCUGACAGCCGACGCCGGCGGCCAUGGAGCUAGGGAGGAGUCGCUGCCUGCAGCCGUGUGGGAGAAAGGAAUAGGAAAAAAAAGGAAGUGGCGGCUAGGGGGGUAGAUGCAAUUUUUCCAAUUUGCAAGGGGAGAGGGGUUCAUAUUUAUAGAAGGGGCACUAGGGUUAGGGUUCUCUCAUGGGCCAAAUGGGCCGGGCUGGAAUGGGCUUGGCCCAGAAUACCCAAUCGAGCUGCGCUGGAUUAUUUUCCGGACUAAAAAUGUUCCUGCGGAUUUCUUCUCUACGGAGAAAAGAGCGAAUUUGGGUUUCGACGAACGGACGAUUGAGCGAUUAAUUCGGCUGAGAGUUGGAUUUGACUUUGCUUGGAAAUAAUUCCUCGCGCAUGAUUCGAAAAUAAAUCGUCCUGAGAUUUGAUCGGUUUUGGAUUUUUAGUCGGGGAAAUCGGAUCGUGACAUUUUAAAAUCGCUGUUGAUACGGGAUUUCGAAUUUGGUUCGGACAUGAGAUAUUUGGCUGAGUCGAGUAAGAAAUAAUUAGAGGACGACGUACUGAGUAUUCCGUGUGAGAGUACGGACUCGGAUCAAAAUAGUCGGACAUUGAUCGAGGUUCGAGGAAUUAGACUCGGGCUCAGAUCAAAUAACAGUCAUCGAGAGUUUGAUUAAAUGAGCUUCAGAUGAGAUUUAUAAUUCGAGAAUGAUUAACGAGUUGGCAUUCGUUCCGAGAAAUAAAAGUUUUAACAGGCUCCAAAUUUGGACUUCUGGAGAUCGAGUAAAAAUCAGAAAUCGGUGAAACCUUCACAAGUAACUUGAUAAAUGGAGAUAAACAUGAUCGAGAACUAGAAAAUUUCACUGAGCGUCCGAGAUUAGGAUAAAUCUCCCGGCGUAACACGAAACUGACACCUGGGGUGUCACAGCGUUCCCCCCUUAAAAAGAAUCUCGUCCCGAGAUUUGAAUGAGGAUCUUUAAGGAUGGAGAAGCAUGUAACUCCCAGGCUGGAGAUAGAUGCAAAAUUAUGAGAUGGGAUAUGAUAAGAUAAUGAAGAUAGAUUUGGAUAGAAUAUCGCGGCAUGUUGAGACAAAAUGCAGCGAUCACUUUGAGAUAAAGUCCACAAAAGAUAGCACACCAGUAUAGUCUCGUAAUGGAUCACGACUAUUAACCGCGAUACCAGCGCGUGCCGAGCAGCUCAACCAUGUGUGCACCAUAGUAGGCUCUCGGUCUCGUCGCGACACCAUCAGUCGUUAGUCAUAGCACCAUUACCAAACGUAACCAAUGAAAAAUUUAUGUGGCAUAAAUAGAUGGAGCCCAGGAGAGUAUGGCUCAAAAAAUAAGAAUGUGAUCGGAGUUGAAGCAGAGACUGCUGACAAAAGAGCAUCACAUGAGAAUGUUCUUUAACUCAGAGAACUAUUUUAUGAUCAUCACGGGGAUUAUCAGCCAAAGAUUGAUACGAUAUUUGAUAUGAGGAGGAACCAACCAUGAGAUCGAGACUGAUAAGCUUUUAGAGACAUAAGAGAUCCCAAGAUAACAACAACAUCCAUUAAUCUACAUGGAUAUGCCGUUUAGAGAUAAGUUGAUAAAAUGACGUCAUGAUCCUUAGAGAAAGAGUAUGAGAAUGAUCAGAAAUGAGAGAUUUAGGCAAGAUCAACAUCUGAUACUUGAGAACGGGUUAUAGCAGAUAACCAGAUAACGGGGCAGAUUCAAUAGGGGAUCCCGAGAUUCGGAUGACAAGCCACAACAUGAUUCACAGAGGAAAAGAUUACCAGAUCUAGGUGAAAAGAGAGGUCAUCAACCUAGAUGGCUUCUGGGUUGGGCAGAGGAAAACUUAAUGAGGAUUUUGGACAAGGUUCCCAAAAAGAAUUCGAGGCUAGAUAUGGUUUGCGUGAACAGACAGUAAACCAUUUUUUUUGGCAUACACAAGGGCACCAGGAAGCUUUAGUCGAUUUAGGGGUCGAGCUAUGGGUGUCUAUAAGUUGUGCAGGUUUAAUUUCAAGGGUAAAACACUCAAGGGCUAGAAAAUACCAACACAAGCAGAAUUUUUUUUCUUUUAAAGAGGUUUCACUUGCUAAACUCAAGGUUGUUUGGACGGGGGGUCUUUUUCAUGAGCAGAACAAACAACACCUUCUUUUUUGCAACAAGGGUUGAACAAUUAAAACAUUUUCUAGAUAGCCAGACAAGAGAAGCAUAUAACACAACCUAGUCAAGACUAUCACAACACACAUGAUAAGAUUUUUUUUUGCAGUUCAUAGCAAUACAGCACAUUAUUCAUAAAUUCUUAUUAUUGGAAUAAAGAUGAGAGAAGCAUGUUGAUGCACAAGAGACAAUUUUAAUGCGACAAUCAUGAUGCAUGCUCAUUCUAGUCGUCUUCUCAGACCUAACUAAUUUUUCGGGUGCUUUUACAGCAUCCCUAUUAAUAGUAGUAGUAGCCUUUAUGGCCUAAAUAACUAGCCACCUAGCUACCCAUCUAUUCCUAGGGCUUCACGUCCUAGGUCUAACUUAUCGUCCUGACAUCUAUCCAACUUUGGUUUCUAAGCCAGUUUUACUUUAGAAAAGGUUGGUAAUCAUGACUUAUUGACUUCUCUGUACUGGUAUUCGCUCCGAUACCAGCUGUGGCGGAACCGCCCGAAUUAUUCCAGCUUAAGUGCCCAAGUCGCACCCUUAAGGGCAGCAACGCACUUAAACAGGAAUAACCCGUCAGUCCCUCGGAUCUAGUCCGAUAAAGCCACUUACCAGGAUCGAAUACCACUAGCUCACUCGAAGGUGAGGCACAGAGAAAUACAAUAAAACAUAAUACCACAAAUUUAAUAAGUAUAAUUAGUGAUUACAUUAUCGGAGUUUCAGAAAUAAUAACCAUAAAUUUUAAUGCAGCGGAAAUAACUAACGGAGAAAACCGAGUAACAUGGCGAAGCCUGGCCACGCUACUCCUCCUGGUCCUCUCCUGCGGAAGCAGUAACCCACUCGACCAUCUAUCCCGGUGGCAGGGAUGGAGGCCAAGUCACACCAUCAACCAAUCAUCCUAAGGAGUACCUGCAAAAAUUGUGCCACAAGCAAGGCUGAGUAUACUAAUACUCAGCUAGACUUACCCGGUGUGAGGAGUCUACUCCUCUACCUCUAGACAUGCAGCUGUUUGGCUGAGGGGUUUGGUUUGCCAAAAGCACUAGCUGAGUCUAAAAUCAAGUUUUAGCUUUUCAAGUUUUAGUAUGAUCCUUUUAAACUAGAUGAGUACCUAGCUAUUCAUACAUGGUAUCAAACAUUAUAUCAAUCAACAUCUUUUGCCAGUCACCUCAUUUCCACUUAUUACUCAAUGUAGCAGCAUGGAUCAAGCAGUCUCAUUAGCUGCGAGAAGCAGACGAUUCGAAUCGAGUUUUUAAACCUUGCAAGGUAAACCUAAACACAC
rnacentral:lncRNA from 1 species